CCUACGGGGUGCAGCAGUGGGGAAUAUUGGACAAUGGGGGCAACCCUGAUCCAGCCAUGCCGCGUGUGUGAAGAAGGCCCUCGGGUUGUAAAGCACUUUCAGUGAGGAAGAACGCCUGGUGGUUAAUACCCAUCAGGAAAGACAUCACUCACAGAAGAAGCACCGGCUAACUCCGUGCCAGCAGCCGCGGUAAUACGGAGGGUGCGAGCGUUAAUCGGAAUUACUGGGCGUAAAGCGCGCGUAGGUGGCUUGAUAAGCCGGUUGUGAAAGCCCCGGGCUCAACCUGGGAACGGCAUCCGGAACUGUUAAGCUAGAGUGCAGGAGAGGAAGGUAGAAUUCCCGGUGUAGCGGUGAAAUGCGUAGAGAUCGGGAGGAAUACCAGUGGCGAAGGCGGCCUUCUGGACUGACACUGACACUGAGGUGCGAAAGCGUGGGUAGCACACAGGAUUAGAUACCCUUGUAGUC
rnacentral:rRNA from 1 species